rnacentral:rRNA from 1 species
UACGUAGGGUGCGAGCGUUGUCCGGAAUUAUUGGGCGUAAAGAGCUCGUAGGCGGUGUGUCGCGUCGGCCGUGAAAACCUGGGGCUCAACUCUGGGCGUGCGGUCGAUACGGGCAUCACUUGAGUUCGGCAGGGGAGACUGGAAUUCCUGGUGUAGCGGUGAAAUGCGCAGAUAUCAGGAGGAACACCGGUGGCGAAGGCGGCGAUCUGGGUCGAUACUGACGCUGAGGUGCGAAAGCGUGGGGAGCAAACAGG